CAGACUUAGCCGAAGCUCUUCCUGGACCCCACAAUACCAAAAAUAUCCCCCAAAGAUUCACAAAGCCAACUUCCCCUGUUCUUCCUCCAUUGCCAACAACCUCCUCUUCCACUUGUAGAAUCUUACACGCAGAGGCUUUCUCUUUCUGAGUCUCUUCUCUCUUUUACUAUAUUACUCAAACACUUCUCCACAAUUUUCUUGAUUGUUUUUCCUUCAUAAUCAUCAUAACGUUAUAUUUAUUAAAACAGAGUCAGGGGGUGAUCUAUUUUCCUUCAACCAUGGACUCCCUCGCGUCAGUUUCUCCUUCCAUGGUUCUCCCUUCCAGUAAUCCCCUCCAUCUACGACGCCUUCUUAUCCCUAAUUCAUCUUCUUUCUCCUCUCAUAACCACCGUCUUCUUCCCCGCCUCUCUACUGCGGUUCCUUUGUCGAAGUAUUAUGUUCCUUCGAGGAGGAGAAGGUGGAGACAAGUUUCUUGUAAAUUUACUGAUGGUGGGCCUAAGCAUCCCGAAGAAGCGGAAGAAGAUGAUGGACGAGAGGAUGUGGAGAGAGCGCUUCAUUUGGAUGGCACCAUUCCUGGGUCUUCGAAUGAGUUCGUCAAGCAGGUUUCUUCCCGUGCUUAUGAUAUGCGAAGACAUCUUCAACAAUCAUUUGAUAGCAGCAGCUAUGAUGUAUUGGAGGCCAACCCAUGGAGAGAAUCCUCAAAGCCUGUAUAUGUACUAACCCACAGAGAAAACCAGUUGUGCACAAUGAAAACCCGGAGAAAUCGCAGCGAAGUUGAGAGGGAGCUUGGGCUACUAUUUUCCAAAGGAGGAAAAUGGAGGUCUGAAAGGGGAAAUCAGGCUAAACAGUCCAGAACAGGGACAAAGUUCCAAAUGCUUGUGGAGGAUAUUCGGGAAGGCGUGCUUAGUCGUGCUUCAAACAGCCAUGGCAUAACAGCAACUAAAGGAAAUGGUCUCUGCUGCCGAUGAAGCUUCCACAACAACGAGGAUUGAGGCUGAACAUUAUCCCCUAAAUUCUUCUUCUCACUUUAGUAGAUAGCUUAUCUGUAUUUGCCAUCGAGAAAUGAUGUUUCUCUAUGGAGACUGGACAAACCAGUUUAGUUUGAUGAACCUUUCUAGUUCUUGUUCUUAAGAAUUCCAAGCACUUCAGUGGUAGUCGAACUCAUCAUAGCCUCUAAAACACAAUAAAUAGUAACUAGAGCCUGCGACUGUGCUGCUGGAAUAUCCAACCAUUGUCGGAGAACCCAGGGAUAGUCUAAAGGCAAAGUUGCAUUAUAGGCAGCUUUGCUACUGAAAUGAAGAGUUAGUGGACCUUGAGGUUGCCAGUUAUCAUACCAAAAAUGGUGCUGCAAUCUCCAAUGUUAUGGUGGAUAAAUAAGUGUGAUUGGCUUCUAAGAUUUUGAUGAACAACUAGCAUAUCGUGGAGUUGUCUCGCUGAUUUCCACAAUGUAUUUGAAGAUGAGAAUGAAGCUGUAAGAUAUUGUGAUUUACUGCAGGGAGGAGGAAAAGGUUGUGAAGGUGUUGCAGAAAUUGAAGCCUCAUCA